rnacentral:rRNA from 1 species
UACGUAGGGGGCGAGCGUUGUCCGGAAUCAUUGGGCGUAAAGCGCGUGUAGGCGGCUCGGUAAGUCCGGUGUGAAACCUUGGGGCUCAACCCCAAGCCUGCACUGGAUACUGUCGAGCUCGAGUCCGGGAGGGGAGAGCGGAAUUCCUAGUGUAGCGGUGAAAUGCGCAGAUAUUAGGAAGAACACCGGUGGCGAAGGCGGCUCUCUGGAACGGUACUGACGCUGAGACGCGAAAGCGUGGGGAGCAAACAGG